AACAGCCGAAUUCCCGGCACCCGGGAAACGGGGGAACCACUUUGGGUGAAUUGAUCUAUACAUAAGAGAUCAUAGGGAACCUUCAACCGAAUCCUUAAGCUAACCUCGCAGGCCUUGGAAGGAG
rnacentral:sRNA from 1 species